GCAUCUGCUCAAGCCAAGCUCCUAUCACAGAAUGAUCAGUGGAUUCUAAUUGUGAUUUAGUAGUAGUUAGACCCUCACCGGAUGCCGCAGCACCCAUCCCGGGCACUGCCAGCUUCUCUUUUAGCAUCUCAGGUGGGGAUUCCUUCACCAGGGAUUGAACCCAUGAUAAGUCAGGCUCCUCCCCGUUAUUUCCCAUUUCGAAAGAAGAUGACCUUCGCAGUUGACCCAGUU
rnacentral:misc_RNA from 1 species